AAAAAAACUAAAAACUUAUGGAUUCUGGAUCUGGGAAUACAAAUAAGAUUUUCACAACGGCGAAACAUGCCUACAAGGAAUAAUUCCAGCGAAAAUAUGCAAAUCAAUAGACGCCUGAAGCAGCACACAUACACACACAUACACACACAUACAAGUAUGCCUCACCGACACUAUUGACAUAUGAUUGACCGAAAAAAGAUUUAUUGAACUCGCUGCCACCACAAUACUUUGGCCACGACAAUCGAUAAUAUCAACGACACGCCAAACAAACACACACACACACAUGCAGCACAGGCACUGGGCCUGUGUGGCAAAUUGUUUGCAAACGAUGACUAUUAAUCCAGGGAAAUGCACUUCCGCAAUCAAUGGCUGGCGUUGAAGCGUGUAGAAAACAUGGCUACACAGACACGCAUACACACAAAUGCUCAUCAACACACACGCGCGCACGAAGGGACGCACUCGAAAGCAAUAUUUCUAAGGCUCGUUAGCGAUCGCUUACACGUACGUUGUUAUUGCAUGUGGAUAACAACAACAAUAAAUCUACGCGUGUUAGCGCCGCGAAUGCAGUUAACGACAAUCAGGCAACAAUAGCAAUAAUAACAAGAACGAAAACAACAAUACAACAGCAUGUCAGUUAGACAGUCAGCGUUCGCGGCCAUUAGUUGCAGCAUAAGUCAAAAUGUUGUUGCCACACCAUGUCUUACAGGCUACGCACCAGCUUAGAUACCUAUUGAGCUGUAUAGAUGGUUGCUGUUUGCAUUUAUAUACCUCUAAGUGUGUAGGGAAACAGAAAGAUUACGGCCAAAGAGCAGACAGCAAGGCAGGCAGCAACGAGUAAAUGUCGUCUGCAAUUGAACAUGACAUGUAGCAUGACUUCCAGUCAACCAAGGCAAACAGACAGCCGUUUGCGCCGUUAGGCGUGCCACCAACGCCUCACCACCACCACCAUAGGCAGUCGAAGCGGUGAGUGAGCAUUUGGUGAGGAAAGCUGAGCAGCUUUCAAGCCAGUCAAUGCGAUAUUUUCUUUUAAUUUUGCUCCUCUGUAACACUCACAGGUGAAACACGCUCGACAAGACAAAUUAUAUUGCAGAUAGAUGAUCAAGUGAUUGCUUGAUACAUUCGACAGCAGAAUAAUGUUGCCAGAUGGGAGAUUUUCGUGAAGCAAAUCACCAACUCAGCCAAAAAAAUACGUAGCAACAGUUUAUUAUUCAAAUAAAGUGGGCUCUGGCCCUACUCAUCCUAUAUAAACAUUACUUUUAAGUUUCCAUAUGCUUCCUUUAAGCUAAAACACUAAUAUAAUAUUACAAAUAUAGAUAAAUAAGCCAAAAUUCA